GUGAACGCUGGCGGUAGGCCUAACACCUGCAAGUCGAACGGCAGCACAGUAAGAGCUUGCUCUUACGGGUGGCGAGUGGCGGACGGGUGAGGAAUACAUCGGAAUCUACUUUUUCGUGGGGGAUAACGUAGGGAAACUUACGCUAAUACCGCAUACGACCUACGGGUGAAAGUAGGGGAUCUUCGGACCUUGCGCGAUUGAAUGAGCCGAUGUCGGAUUAGCUAGUUGGCGGGGUAAAGGCCCACCAAGGCGACGAUCCGUAGCUGGUCUGAGAGGAUGAUCAGCCACACUGGAACUGAGACACGGUCCAGACUCCUACGGGAGGCAGCAGUGGGGAAUAUUGGACAAUGGGCGCAAGCCUGAUCCAGCCAUACCGCGUGGGUGAAGAAGGCCUUCGGGUUGUAAAGCCCUUUUGUUGGGAAAGAAAAGCAGCAGGUUAAUACCCCGCUGUUCUGACGGUACCCAAAGAAUAAGCACCGGCUAACUUCGUG
rnacentral:rRNA from 1 species